CGGCCGCCUCUGCCAGAAGCCAGAGCGGGACUCACUGACAAGCCGCAGAGAGAAAGACACUGAGAGGGAGAUGAUUAUUAGUUGCGUUGAGUCAUCAGGCAAAGUACCCUGGGACUACAUACAUGCAUCAGCACAUCCAACUCUUUAGACUGUGGAUUCUGGAGGUUGAAUUCAACCACAUCUGCUUAUAAGAAUCCCGACUCUGCAGAAAACAUCCCCAUGUAGACCCACAGGGACAAGUUCCCGGGGAAGGACUUGGCGUGUUCACACUGGGUAACUCUAUGAGACCCUCUCAGCGGAGCCCGAAGGAUCUGAAGGAACAUUCAGUGCCAAACAGAUCGCUACAUUUUCAACACUUAAUCAUCUUCAUCAUCUAAAAAUAUUUCCACAUUAAAGGAAAAUAUUUAAACUUCUUUUUGAUGCAUCAAAACUUAGAACACUGCAUGAAGUCUGG
rnacentral:lncRNA from 1 species